AAAGAAAAAGAAAAUAGAGAGAGAAAGAAGGUUCUAGAGAGAAGGAGAAGUAACCGCUACUUCCAAUCCAACCACGAGGAGUCCAAUUCCGGUGAGAUUUCUUCACAAAACCUUUACAGAACCUAUAGAAAACUUUUUGGUACUUGAAUCGUCCAAAAAUCGUCAAGGAACGAAGAAAAUUCGUAGAGAGGAUUGCACUCAUAAUCCAUGAAGGAAGUCUUGAUCGAUUCAAAUCGGAAAUAGGAGUUCCGAUCUUCACCAAAGUGGAGAUGGAUAUGAGGUCUACAAAUCUCAUGAAGGAAUCAUAUUAAUCCGAGUUAUGUAGAAAGACCUACGAGAAUGAGAAGAAAAUAGAAAAUAAUCGAUUUUCUAGAAAAUCGCAGAGAUGAGAGGAAGAAGUCGAACGACAGAGGGCUGCGUGUUGGGCAGCGAGAAGGCCGCGCGUCACCGGAAAGAUGGGACACGUGUCCGCCAUGUAUUGGCAGAGAAAUUCAAGGAAAUACUUCGCAUCGGGCAGGAUUCGAAGGCCGGCAGCCCGCUACCCGAGUCCACGACCCCGAUAACCCACGCGUGACUCAGAUUCUCGACCCAGCUUCUCGUGCCAUGCAUCAGCAUAAGAGAUUUUAGAUUUCCAGCGCAUUCUUUCGGUUUCGAACCAAUGACCCCGACCCGACUGACCAACCACGUUGCGCCAUGUGGCGACACACCAGCGCCCGAAUCCUUCCCCUCAGGCGCGUCCGUACGCACGCGUGGGUGACUCCCUCCGAUGCGUGGGCGCAUGAGACUCUAUUUUUAUCCCGAUUUGACUUUCGUUCGACUAUUUUUCAUCCCGGUUUUGAUACUAAUCCAAGUCUAACUUGAUUUAGGACCUAUCAGCAAACUUUCAAGAGUUUUAGGCUCUUAAUUAGCCAAAAAGUAUGCUUCAAAAGGCACGCUUCAUUCCUGUAAGUAAUCACACGGAUUUAGGAAGUAAUACUUGUAGGGUGCGCUUGGUUUUGCAUGCAUGCUAGAGAAAAUUAUCCCUGGGUGGCUAGAUCUAAUGAUCCUCUGUACUUAGGGAAUUAAAAAUAUAUAUGUUGAACUUCCUGCCUUGAUGAGCUUUCGUACUUGAUGUUGGUAUGCUUGCUAGUCUAUCUUACUACUGCUUUUAUCUGUUCAUACUAUGUUGUCGGACGGGAGAGUUUGUGUAUCUGCGCUCCGGGUGUUGAUGGAUGUUACCACCCCGCUGAGCUUGUACGAUUGUAUGCAUUGUUAAUCAUACAUAAAAGUCCUGUUGAAUAAUUUGUGUAUCUGCGCUCCGGGUAUUGAUGGAUGUUACCGCCCCGUUGAGCUUGUAUGAUUGUAUGCAUUGUUAAUUAUACAUGAACUUCCGUUGAAUAAUUUGUGUAUCUGCGCUCCGGGUGUCGAUGGAUGUUACCACCUCGUUGAGCUUGUAUGAUUGAAUGCAUUGUUAAUCAUACAUAAACUCCUGUUGAAUGAUUGUGUGAACUUAUGAUAUGAUUG